AUAAUUCCUUUAUACUUUGUAUACCAGAAAGUAGAAAGAGCAAAAACUAUUUUCAAAUCUGUUUAUGUUUUAAGCAUUUCCGCACACACUUGAUGAAAAUGAAGAUGAUAGUUGUUCUGGUAAUCCUGGCGAGUCUUGCAGUGCACUCGGACAGUUGCCCAUGCGUUAAAAGGAACCGUCGUUGUAAUUUGGGCAUCUGGGAACCACAGUGCUGUGAUUCCAUGACUUGUGUGCGACCAGAUGAAUGGGCAUUGUCUGGGAGAUGCGAUAAUGCUGACUGACACUAUGGAGCCUGUGAAUAAAGGGAACAAAACAGCACCUAAGCAAGCAAAGUGAACAGAAUAUUAAUAUAUAUCUACCCAAAAUGUUAAAAAAAUAAAAAUCAA